GGGAUUUUUGCAGGGAUGCUCUGACUUUGGUGGAUUCUUGAAGAAUGGUUUUUGUGAAAGAGGCGGUGAGAGAGAUGAUAGCGGCGGCAGUGGCGGUGGCAGUGCGGGGAUGUCUAGUGCAACUUUUUUCGGGACACCGGCUUUGUGGAUGUCACCACCCCCCGCCCGGGGGCCCUCUCUCUCUCCUUCUUGGUUUUUGUUUGCUUGUUUUCUGGAUGAGUUUUACAUUUAGAUCCCAAAUUUUUAUUUGGAUGGAGUGGACUUUUGCC
rnacentral:lncRNA from 1 species